rnacentral:rRNA from 1 species
GAUGAACGCUGGCGGCGUGCUUAACACAUGCAAGUCGAACGAAGCACCUUAAUUGAUUUCCUUCGGGACUGAGUAUUUUGUGACUGAGUGGCGGACGGGUGAGUAACGCGUGGGUAACCGGGCUUGUACAGGGGGAACACAGGUUGAUACGGCAGCUAAUCCCGCAUAGGCGCACAGCAUCGCAUGAUGCAUGGUGAAAAACUCGGGUGGUAUAAGAUGGACCCGCGUUGGAUUAGCUAGUUGGUGAGGUAACGGCCCACCAAGGCGACGAUCCAUAGCCGACCUGAGAGUCUGACCGGCCACACUGGGACUGAGACACGGUCCGAACUCCUACGGGAGGCAGGAGUGGGGAAUAUUGCACAGUCGGGGAAAGCAUGAUGCAGCGACGCCGCGUGAGCGAAGAAGUAUUUCGGUAUGUAAAGCUCUAUCAGCAGGGAAGAUAAUGACGGUACCUGAAUAAGAAGCACCGGCUAACUACGUG